AUCACCUGAGGAUCUUGUUGAAAUGCAGAUUCUGAUCUAGUAGGUCCAAGGUGGUUCUGAGAUUCUGCAUUUCUAGCAAGUUCUUAGCUGAGAUUGA
rnacentral:pre_miRNA from 1 species